UGAGGAAUUUUGGGCAAUGGGCGCAAGCCUGACCCAGCGACGCCGCGUGGAGGAUGAAGGCCUUCGGGUCGUAAACUCCUGUUCUGAGGGAAGAAAACGGGGUGAGCGAAUAACUCAUUCCGCUGACGGUACCUCAGGAGUAAGCUCCGGCUAAUUACGUGCCCGCAGCCGCGGUCAUACGUAAGGAGCAAGCGUUGUCCGGAUUUACUGGGCGUAAAGAGCUCGUAGGCGGCCGAUCAGGUCUCGCGUAAAAGCCCCCGGCUCAACCGGGGAGGGUCGCGGGAAACCGAACGGCGUGAGGACAGAAAAGGAAAGUGGAA
rnacentral:rRNA from 1 species